AACCAACAGGGAUUGCCCUAGUAACGGCGAGUGAAGCGGCAACAGCUCAAAUUUGAAAUCUGGCAGCCCCCGCGGCAGCCCGAGUUGUAAUUUGUAGAGGAUGCUUUUGGCGAGGUGCCUUCCGAGUUCCCUGGAACGGGACGCCAUAGAGGGUGAGAGCCCCGUACGGUCGGACGCCGAGCCUCUGUAAAGCUCCUUCGACGAGUCGAGUAGUUUGGGAAUGCUGCUCAAAAUGGGAGGUAAAUGCCUUCUAAAGCUAAAUACCGGCCAGAGACCGAUAGCGCACAAGUAGAGUGAUCGAAAGAUGAAAAGCACUUUGAAAAGAGGGUUAAAUAGUACGUGAAAUUGUUGAAAGGGAAGCGCUCGUGACCAGACUCGGGCCUUGUGGAUCAUCCAGCGUUCUCGCUGGUGCACUCCGCUCGGCCCGGGCCAGCAUCGACUUCCCCAGGGGGAUAAAAGCCUCGGGAACGUAGCUCCUCCGGGAGUGUUAUAGCCCCUGGCAGAAAGCCCCUGGGGGGGUCGAGGACCGCGCUUCGGCAAGGAUGCUGGCGUAAUGGUCAUCAGCGACCCGUCUUGAAACACGGACCAAGGAGUCAAGCAGUAGGGCGAGUGUUUGGGUGUCAAACCCGCACGCGAAAUGAAAGUGAACGCAGGUGAGAGCUUCGGCGCAUCAUCGACCGAUCCUGAUGUAUUCGGAUGGAUUUGAGUAAGAGCCUUACCGCUUGGACCCGAAAGAUGGUGAACUAUGCCUGGAUAGGGUGAAGCCAGAGGAAACUCUGGUGGAGGCUCGCAGCGGUUCUGACGUGCAAAUCGAUCGUCAAAUCUGGGCAUGGGGGCGAAAGACUAAUCGAACCAUC
rnacentral:rRNA from 1 species